CCUACGGGUGGCAGCAGUGGGGAAUAUUGCGCAAUGGGCGAAAGCCUGACGCAGCGACGCCGCGUGAGGGAUGAAGGUCUUCGGAUCGUAAACCUCUGUCAGCAGGGAAGAACGGUCACUGUGCUAAUCAGCAGUGAAUUGACGGUACCUGCAAAGGAAGCACCGGCUAACUCCGUGCCAGCAGCCGCGGUAAUACGGAGGGUGCGAGCGUUAAUCGGAAUUACUGGGCGUAAAGCGCUCGUAGGCGGUAUGUCAAGUCAAGGGUGAAAUCCCCGCGCUCAACGUGGGGACUGCCUUUGAAACUGGAGGACGGGAGUGUGUGAGAGGAAGGUGGAAUUCCAGGUGUAGGAGUGAAAUCCGUAGAUAUCAGGAGGAACAUCAGUGGCGAAGGCGACUAGCUGGCACACGACUGACGUUGAGGAGCGAAAGCGUGGGUAGCGAACAGGAUGAGAUACCCUUGUAGUC
rnacentral:rRNA from 1 species